UGUGUACAGAAGCGAGCGAAUUAGGCUC
rnacentral:sRNA from 1 species